UACGGAGGGGGCUAGCGUUGUUCGGAAUUACUGGGCGUAAAGCGUACGUAGGCGGCUUUGUAAGUUAGAGGUGAAAGCCCAGGGCUCAACCCUGGAACUGCCUUUAAGACUGCAGAGCUUGAAUCACGGAGAGGUCAGUGGAAUUCCGAGUGUAGAGGUGAAAUUCGUAGAUAUUCGGAAGAACACCAGUGGCGAAGGCGGCUGACUGGACCAUAACUGACGCUGAUGCGCGAAAGGCUAGGGGAGCAAACAGG
rnacentral:rRNA from 1 species